AAACAAGAUAGAGUGUCCGUAAAUGUCCUUUUUUCUUCUUGCUUUUUGACUGUGGCAAUUGUAGUGGUUCUUUUGCUCAAGAUUCAAAACAUUGAACACUUUCAGCUCAUUCAAUAUGUUUGAUUAGUUGCCCCAAAAAGAAAGGUUAUUAAAGUUUCUAUUUUCAGUUCUUCCUUAGCUAAAUUGUCUCAAAAAAGAGGAUUUUUUUUUGUUGCAUAACCUCGUGGAACUGUGUGAUUGUUUCUUGUUGUUGUUUGUCUUCUUAUUAAGUUGAAUACCAAAAGAUCGAUGACCCUUUUCUUAUUGCAAGAAAAUGGGGUAACCCUUUUUAUUUGAGCCCAAGAUUUGCUCAUCUGAAGUUCAAAUCUGGCGUUUUCUUCAGGUCAGGAUUGACUUUUUUUUCUUUAAUUAUGGGUAUUGGCUUUUUGUUAACUUCAUUCAAGAUUUGGUUGGUGGUGUUGUGCUAUUCUGUAAGAAAGCUUUGAUUUUUUUUGUAUGUUUCUUAUAUAUAUAUGGUGUUCCAUUGUUUGAGCAUAGAUCAAUACUUACUUAGAGAAUUUUUGAAUGUUGAGGAAUGGACAGUGUAUUGUGAUUGACUCUUGUGCUGACAAAAGAGUCAAGUGGUUAGUUGAGAUUGUGCUGAAUUUGCUAUUAUUGAGGAUAUUUUCACUGUACUUGAUGUACUAAGAUGGAGUAACUAUCUGUUCUGGUUCUUAUAAGCUUUCCCUCAUUUUUAGCUGUCUAUAGUUUCAGAAUUUUUCUUGGAUAAGGCCUGUAAGGUAGUAGUAUUGUAGCGUGCUGAAUUCAGUGAACGUUGUAUUGGUUACUUUUAGCUAGAGUCUCUUUGAGAUACUUUAGAGUUGCCUGGUUACUAUUAUGGCUUCGAUUAGAAGAACGUUGUCACCAGUGCCUCGUCCUGGAAGCGCUAUGAAUGGAGAAGUAUGUUCUGUAGCCUCUCCACUGUCCAAGUCUUCAUCAUGUACCAAUAGUAAUACACCAACUGGUGCAUCACUUUCGUCUUUUGGUUCAUUGGAUUAUGCCAUCUACAAGGUUCAGACAUUUCUAGUUGGUCUUUUGUCACGACGAUCUUCUAGGCCCUUAGAAAGGUCAAAGUUGAAGGGGCUCAUUUGGAGGAGAGCUAUUCUGCAAUUCUUUUUCUGUUUUGUUCUUGGAGUAUUUAUUGGCCUUACUCCAUUACUAAAUUUGUCAACAAAUUUUAUCUCUAAACAUCAAGCUUUAUCCUUUGAGGUCCUCCAGCCAGAAGAAAAUGCUCGAUCAUAUGAUGUAUCUAGAAAUGUGACUUCAACCACUGAGGGCUUGCCUAUCAUGGAUAAUUCGACAUCAGAGCCUAACUUAGUACAUGUUGAACUGAAAGAAGACACUACCUACAAUGCCUCCUUUAAUCAAUUACUUGACCAAGAUCCGAUAGUGUCCCGUAAACUUUUGAUUAUUGUGACUCCUACAGAAACCCGUCCAUUUCAAGCAUACUAUCUAAAUCGUCUGGCCUAUGCAUUAGAGUUGGUGCCUUCUCCUUUAUUAUGGAUAGUUGUUGAGAUGGACUCCCAAUCUGUUGAAACUGCUGAUAUAUUGAGAAGAACCGGAGUAAUGUACAGACAUCUUGUGUGCAGCAAGAACUUAACUGAUGUGAAAGAGAAAAAUGUGCAUCUAAGGAAUGUGGCACUCUCUCACAUUGAAACACACCACCUUGAUGGCAUCGUCUAUUUUGCUGAUGAGUACAACAUAUACUCUGCUGAUGUCUUCGAGCAGAUGAGACAGAUCAGCCGGAUCGGGACAUGGAUUGUGGCAAGACUAGCUGAAAAUAAUAGGAAAGUUAUCUUGCAGGGUCCAAUCUGUAACGGCUCUCAGGUUAUAGGUUGGCAUAGUGAAGGCAGAACAAAAAGAUUUCAGAGAUUCUAUGCAGAAAUAUCGGGAUUUGCAUUCAAUAGUACGAUACUUUGGGAUACAAAGAGGUGGCACCGACCAACACUAGAACCUAUAAGGCAGUCUGAUACAGCCAAAGCUAGUUCCCAAGUGAGCACAUUUAUCGAACAAAUGGUGGAAGAUGAAAGCCAAAUGGAAGGCUUACCAAUGAACUGUUCAAGAAUCAUGGUUUGGCAAUUCAACACGGAGAUAUUGUACCCAUAUCCUCAUGAAUGGCUGGUGAAAAAUUACUCAAUAACCAGUACUUCAGCUGGAUGACAAUUUUGACAUGCAGAUAGAUUCUUGAGCACUGAUAAGGCUUGCAGCUGCUCCUUUGUUGUCCUAGGCAUAGUCCAAUCGUUUCCACAAUGUUCUGGAUGAAGUCCCAGGUUACUUGGUGAAUGAGCAGUGGAGGAAGAGUGCAGGGGAAAUUUAGUGAACAAUCAUGAGCGUCUGCAGCAAAUAUAUAUAUCGGACCAACCACUUGAAUGCUAUCAGUUUCGAGCUUGUAAUGUUGAGCUACAUGCUGUAGUAUCUUAAAGAGACCAGUUAUCUCUGCCCUUUCCUCCCUAUUCCGUUUUCCUGUUCUGCUGCUAUAUCAGUAGAUAUUUAUUUGUACAGUUGCGUAGAGCUAGUCACGGUAUAGUCUUCUGGCUAUGAAGUCAGAAGCAGCAAAGUUGUGGCAAUAUGGAAAAAAAUUACAACAGAUGGGUAAGUUUCAAGUUCCCCUAUCCAAUUCUUUCGACCGGAGUUUCUUAAUCCAAGUUGAUGUCUGGAAUGGAGUAUUGUUAUUCAACUGGCAGCUUUCCUAAUAGACUUGUGCAUAUGUUAACGUGCUACUCCGUUCCAAUUUAUAUGACUCUCUUUCUCACAUAAACCACAUUUCAUAUUCA